GGAUAGCUCAGUUGGUUAGAGCGUCGGAUUCAUAACCCGGAGGUCUCGAGUUCAAUUCUCGAU
rnacentral:tRNA from 1 species